UACAGAGACUGCAAGCGUUAUUCGGAUUCACUGGGCGUAAAGGGUGCGCAGGCGGCCGAGUGUGUGAGGCGUGAAAGCCCGGGGCUUAACCCCGGAAUUGCACCUCAAACUACACGGCUAGAGCAUUGGAGAGGGUAGCAGAAUUCACGGUGUAGCAGUGAAAUGCGUAGAUAUCGAUGAGGAAUACAGAGGCGAAGGCGGCUACCUGGACAAUUGCUGACGCUCAGGCACGAAAGCGUGGGGAGCAAAAGGG
rnacentral:rRNA from 1 species